AUUGAACGCUGGCGGCAUGCCUUACACAUGCAAGUCGAACGGCAGCGCGGGCUUCGGCCUGGCGGCGAGUGGCGAACGGGUGAGUAAUACAUCGGAACGUGCCCUGUUGUGGGGGAUAACUAGUCGAAAGAUUAGCUAAUACCGCAUACGACCUGAGGGUGAAAGCGGGGGACCGUAAGGCCUCGCGCAAUAGGAGCGGCCGAUGUCUGAUUAGCUAGUUGGUGGGGUAAGAGCCUACCAAGGCGACGAUCAGUAGCUGGUCUGAGAGGACGAUCAGCCACACUGGGACUGAGACACGACCCAGACUCCUACGGGAGGCAGCAGUGGGGAAUUUUGGACAAUGGGGGCAACCCUGAUCCAGCAAUGCCGCGUGUGUGAAGAAGGCCUUCGGGUUGUAAAGCACUUUCGUCCGGAAAGAAAUCCUCUGCCCUAAUACGGCGGGGGGAUGACGGUACCGGAAGAAUAAGCACCGGCUAACUACGUGCCAGCCGCCGCGGUAA
rnacentral:rRNA from 1 species